rnacentral:rRNA from 1 species
GGCUCAGGAUGAACGCUAGCUACAGGCUUAACACAUGCAAGUCGAGGGGAAACGAUAGAGAAAGCUUGCUUUUUCUAGGCGUCGACCGGCGCACGGGUGAGUAACGCGUAUCCAACCUGCCCAUCACUUGGGGAUAACCUUGUGAAAGUAAGACUAAUACCCAAUGACGUCUCUAGAAGACAUCUGAAAGAGAUUAAAGAUUUAUCGGUGAUGGAUGGGGAUGCGUCUGAUUAGCUUGUUGGCGGGGUAACGGCCCACCAAGGCGACGAUCAGUAGGGGUUCUGAGAGGAAGGUCCCCCACAUUGGAACUGAGACACGGUCCAAACUCCUACGGGAGGCAGCAGUGAGGAAUAUUGGUCAAUGGACGAGAGUCUGAACCAGCCAAGUAGCGUGCAGGAUGACGGCCCUAUGGGUUGUAAACUGCUUUUAUAAGGGAAUAAAGUGGGAGUCGUGACUCUUUUUGCAUGUACCUUAUGAAUAAGGACCGGCUAAUUCCGUG